GAUGAACGCUGGCGGCGUGCCUAAUACAUGCAAGUCGAGCGAACAGACGAGGAGCUUGCUCCUCUGACGUUAGCGGCGGACGGGUGAGUAACACGUGGAUAACCUACCUAUAAGACUGGGAUAACUUCGGGAAACCGGAGCUAAUACCGGAUAAUAUAUUGAACCGCAUGGUUCAAUAGUGAAAGACGGUUUUGCUGUCACUUAUCGAUGGAUCCGCGCCGCAUUAGCUAGUUGGUAAGGUAACGGCUUACCAAGGGAACGAUGCGUAGCCGACCGGAGAGGGUGAUCGGCCACACUGGAACUGAGACACGGUCCAGACUCCUACGGGAGGCAGCAGUAGGGAAUCUUCCGCAAUGGGCGAAAGCCUGACGGAGCAACGCCGCGUGAGUGAUGAAGGUCUUCGGAUCGUAAAACUCUGUUAUUAGGGAAGAACAAAUGUGUAAGUAACUAUGCACGUCUUGACGGUACCUAAUCAGAAAGCCCCGGCUAACUACGUG
rnacentral:rRNA from 1 species